GCUUGGGUGGCUCGGUUGCUUGAGCAUCUGACUUCAGCUCAGUUCAUGUUGUCAUGGUUCGUGGGUUCGAGCCCACGUCAGGCU
rfam:Felis catus isolate Cinnamon breed Abyssinian chromosome F2, whole genome shotgun sequence.